GAUGAACGCUAGCUACAGGCUUAACACAUGCAAGUCGAGGGCAGCACAGAGAUAGCUUGCUAUCUUGGGUGGCGACCGGCGCACGGGUGAGUAACGCGUAUCCAACCUGCCCAUUACUCUGGGAUAGCCUUGCGAAAGUAAGAUUAAUACCGGAUGUUGUUAAAAACCCGCAUGAGUUUUAACCAAAGAUUUAUGGUAAUGGAUGGGGAUGCGUGACAUUAGGUAGUAGGUGAGGUAACGGCUCACCUAGCCGACGAUGUCUAGGGGUUCUGAGAGGAAGGUCCCCACACUGGAACUGAGACACGGUCCAGACUCCUACGGAGCAGCAGUGAGGAAUAUUGGUCAAUGGACGAGAGUCUGAACCAGCCAAGUAGCGUGCAGGAUGACGGCCCUCUGGGUUGUAAACUGCUUUAGUGGAAUAAAAGAGGACGUGUCCCUAAUUGUAAUGUACCAUCAG
rnacentral:rRNA from 1 species